UUGCAGGACGACCGGACCGCAGGACGCCGGAUUGCAGGACGACCAGGCCGCAGGACUCCAUUCUCCCACCGUUUACUUUGUCAUCUGGAGACGUAUCAGACGUGGAAUAGAACGGGCUCCGUUCACACCAGCCCUGUUCACUCCAGUCCGUUUGCCUAGAAAGUCCAGGUCAGGUGAUGAAGUGUGAACGCUAAUCGACCUCUGACCUCUGCUCCUCCACUUUGUCUGCAGGAACACCGACGUGUCGCAAUCAGCUGAGCUUUAGAACUGGUUCCUCUCUGGUUCUGGAGCGAUCCGGCUCUCUAAUGAGAUGCUGUUUGCUGUGAGAGGAGAACAGCAGGUGUGUUUGUUUCUUCAUGUGUGCAGACACACACACACACACACACACACACACACACACACACACACACACACUCCCAGCAGCUGCUUGUUUAGCUGGUGAUGGUGUGUGUGAUGUAAACUGGCAGCUCUGACUGCAUUUGCAUGCGAUGUGUGUGAGUUUGAGUUCAGAUCUGUCAGCUGCACCUUCCUCUGUCUCUGUUAGGUUUGUAGAGAAGCAGCUCGGUUCUGCUGGGAGCUCUGGUUCCGGUUCUGGUUCCGGUUCCGGUUCUGCUUCACGUCUCGAUUGUCUCAGCUUUUGAUCUCAGCUCAUAUUUAACUAAACAAGUUUUACUUUCUCAGCUGAGCAUCAGAAACAGGAAGCUGAGUCCAGCCACGCCGCGGCGUUCCUCAGGGUUCUGAGUUCGGCCUUUUGUCAGCUGAAACACAGACAAACAUUUGCUCAAAAUGCUGAAGGUCCAAAUCAAAGAUUCACUGAGAUGAACUGAAUGAGACCAAAGGAUCCAGCAGGAGACAUUGGUGAGCAGACAGAGCAGAAGUGAUGGUGAGAUCCCGGGCAGGUCAACCGAGACGAUGAACCAGGAGGAUUUCAGCUCCAUGUUUCCCUCCCAUCGACUGGAGGAGCAGCAGUUCCUAAUGGAGCAGAUGAUGGCGGCGGUGGAGCGAGGCGGAGCGGGGCGAGACGGGGCGGAGCGAGGCGAGGCGAGGCGGAGCGGGGCGAGGCAAGACGAGGCGGAGCAGCACUAGUGUGUAAAGCGCUGCAGACAGGAGCGAGCCGCCGGGAUGAAAGGGAAGAAGAAGACGACGACGCGCGGAGGAAGAGGAAGGCAGCAGGAGUGAAGGGAUCAGACGGAGGAAGAUGAAAGCAGGCAGAGCCGCUGAAGAACGAGUUAUUCGGUGCGAUUCCACGUACAGCCGCUAGGGGCGCAGAGGAGCUCACUGCGCGUCUCAUCUCUUCCGUGUCAGAGUAUUGUGUAGAAAACGGGAAAUGAUGCCGGAGGCUAAUUAAUGCUAAUGCUAGCAGGCUGUGUGUGUUGAGCUCACUGAGGAUCAGCUGAAGGAUUCCUGACUUCAGCAUGAAACGCAGAGAGAAAGAACCGCAGCAAAUGAUGAAGUUCUGGUUCCAGUGGGACAGAGUCUAGCGGACCACCAGGUGUGAAACACCUUCAGGACUCGUCUGAACCUGCAGAAAGGAAACAGGAAGUGGUGAUGUUAUGAGAGGAAGCACUUGCUGAGGGAAUCGAACAGAUCAGGAUUCAGACUAAUGAUGUAUAAAUGAAGUCUUUAAGCUCCAGGAAGUUUUGACCUCCUGCAGACGCAGAUCCUGGAGCUGGAACGUUUCUGAAAAGAGACUCCAGGCUUGUAGAACAGCGCAGACAUGACAGCGCUGUCUGCAGAGUGGACUCCUCGUCUUCCUGGCUGUGUCCCUCUGGGUUUCCUCUCAGCCUUCAAGCGGCGCAGACUGGAAGAGACUCGGAGGUUUUCUGAGGCUGGUUUGACGCGCGAUGGGAGGAAAGAUCAGAGCAGGAGCCUCCGUGCCGCCCGGCCUCCAGUCUUCUGCUCCUCUUUCAUGCGGCUCUGCGUCCUCUCAUCCCUCCGUCUCUGCGCUGCGAGGCUCGCUCUGAAUCAUCGCAGCCUUUGAACGGGACUCUGCGGCGUUGCAGGCGCUGCGUGUUAUCUCCUUCCUGUUUGGGAACGAGGAGAGCGUUUCCUCGGGAUCUGCGUAUUAUUCCUGCUCCGCCGAGAGGAAGGACAAAAGAGGAAGGACCUGUGGGACAAGCCGAGAUGAAACGGCGUCCUCGUCUUCACCUCCUCCUUCGUUACAUGCAGCUUCUCCUUUCUGUCUCUGAUGCUGCUGGAAGGAGAUGAAACCCAGACAUGAAAAACUUUCAUCUGUUUUCUUCUUUCUACCAGCUAAAGAAACUAAGAAGUUGGAGUAACUGUUCUUGACGCCCUGCAGCCUGACGCUCCCCGGAUCCACUGAAGUUUCAAGAUGUUUUUGUUUUUCCAGGUUUUUCCUCCCAGACGUGAAUCUCCUGCAGACAAACCUCCAAUCAACAAACCGCUGCAGCUUUUUUCUCCUCACUAAUCUGUGAGUAAUAGACGUCUAGACAGAAAACUAAACUGGGCUCAGGCUGCUGUUGCAGAGGCUGGAGGAGUUUUUACAUCAUCUGCUCCUCAGCGAGCGUCGAGGAGAAGAAGCGAGAGGAAAUGAGACGGCAGGGAGAAGGAGAAGCAGAUAAGAGCCGUAAUAAGUGAGGAAAGGAGGACAGAAAGAGCCGAGACCCUCACCGCGGAGGGGAGACAGCUUUUCCUUUCGAGCUUCAAAGAUGGGAAACAAAUUCAAAAGGUGUGAAAUCAUCUUAUUUUUCCUGAAGCUCGUCAUCCAGGCUGAGAGUUCACCAAGCGGUCACAUCCUGCACAGACGUUCAGAAAACUUCACAAUUCAUCUGUUUUCAGCAGGAUAAUCUGCAAACCAAACGCCAGAAUAUUCGGUUGUUUUGGUCGGAUUGUGGAAUCCAGAGAUGAGGAAAAUCUCCUGAUGAUGGAAACAUGGAGGAUGGGAAAGUUUCCGUCUUUUCUUCCAGCAUCGUUUUCUGCUGCGUCGCUCGCUGGAAACGGUUGAAUCAGAAAAAAUCUAGAUAACUUUCUCAAAAACGAGUCUCUGCUUCAGAUGGUUUCUGGCUGUUCUGGAAAAGAGUCGAUGGAAAAACAUCUCCUGAACCGUCCCGUCCGCUGGUGGGUCGGCGCCGUACCAGAGGCACCAAACCUCCAGCAUGGAGGGAGGAAGUCUCUCUGUCAGCUUCCUCUACUUCCUGUUGAUUACAGCCAUGCGCAGCGUCAACGUCUGACGGAAUCUGGCUCUGUGUUUCAGUGUGGCUGCUGGAGGCGGCGAGUGGUUCUGGUUCUGGUUCUGGUUCUGGUUGUGGUUCUGGUUCUGGUUCUGGUUGUGGUUGUGGUUCUGGUUGUGGUUGUGGUUCUGGUUCUGGUUCUGGUUCUGGUUCUGCAGUAAUCACAUGUUCCUGUGUCGUUGUUUCGUUUCUCGCUGCCGUUCAUCCUGGUGACUGAAUCACCUGGUCGAGUUCGCCGCCGGUUCUUCGUCUUCCUAAUGUCACUUUAAAUCUUCCCAUAAUGCACCUGUCUCUGUCCCGCCUGCACCGGAGUCCUGAACGUUCCUGAUUGGUCCGAUGACCAGCUGCCAACAUGUCGGUUUCCAUGACAACGCUGCUGUCUUGGCUAUUUGUUUUCAAAUGUAACGAAAGAAGAAGAAACAUCAGAGCUGAUCUUCAUCACACAUCAGCUUAUCUUUGCAUUAGCCGCUAGCGUUAGCCCCUAGCAUUAGCCGCUAGCGUUAGUCCCUAGCAUUAGCCGCUAGCGUUAGCCCCUAGCAUUAGCCGCUAGCGUUAGCUGCUAGUGUUAGCCCCUAGCAUUAGCUGCUAGCGUUAGCCCCUAGCGUUAGCCCCUAUUGUCAGCCCCUAGCGUUAGCCGCUAGCGUUAGCCCCUAGCAUUAGCUGCUAGCGUUAGCCCCUAGCAUUAGCCGCUAAUGUUAGCCCCUAGCAUUAGCCGCUAGCGUUAGCCCCUAGCGUUAGCCCCUAUUGUUAGCCCCUAGCAUUAGCUGCUAGCAUUAGCCCCGAUCGUUAGCCCCUAUUGUUAGCCGCUAGCGUUAGCUGCUAGUGUUAGCCCCUAGCGAUAGCUGCUAGCAUUAGCCGCUAGCGUUAGCCCCUAGCAUUAGCCCCUAGUGUUAGCCCCUAGCAUUAGCCCCUAGUGUUAGCCACAGCGUCUCGCAGGGUUUCCUGUGUUUGGGUCGGAGACGGUCGGCAGCAGAACCAACUGUGGAGGAGAUUUGAGUCUUUAUUUGUUUUGAAUCUGCGUUUCUGAGCCAACAGGUUUUUAUUCCCUUCAGCAGGAGAAACUUUAUGAGAACAACAAACCGCUUCAGGCCAACAACAGAGAGACUUACAGAUUUUUCUUCCGACUCUAAUUAGAUUCAGUUCAUCUGAUGAUCAGAGAGAAUUUUUCACACAACUUUAAUAUUAAUAUUCAGAAAAUGCAGAUUUAACAAAUGAAACAUGAUCUUCCUCAGAUUCCUCUGAUCAUGAUCUGCACUAAACAUCACGAAUCAGCAAACAUGACAAGUUCAGAUGAGGCAGAACUUUAUGACCACUGAGCCGUGUCCGGACCGCCCAGCCCUGGCAGCAGAACCACUGGACGGUUCUGGACCAACCAGCACAACACUUCUCCAUCUAAAUGUUCUGGAUGUGAGCAGAUCGGUUCUGAAAAACCCAAUUCCCAAGUCAACUCAAUCAAUCAGCUCCAAGCUGGAUAUUAAGCUAGCAAGCUAAUUCAUAUUUAGCUUCACUCUAAAUAUUUAGUUAGAAGAUAAAUAUUUAUUCAGGAGCUCUGGGCUGAAUAUUUAGCCAGCACUGCCGAUAGGUGGAAGUGGACCUUCAAAGUAAAAGCUGGUCAGUAUUUUUGAUCUGUUGGGAAACGUCUGCAUUGCCUUUAAUGCGACUUUUCUUGUUUUAAGCUGAACUGUUAGGAGUGAAUGAACCAGUAAGAAAACUGGACUUUAUCAAGAGGUUCAAGCUUUUAUUUUGGUAGUCCACUUCCGGUUAACUAUAUUUAGCUUGCCAGUUAUUUCUGAUGAACGUUUCAUCAUAUGAACUCGAUUUAUUGCUGUCCACAGCGAUGAACCGGACCGGACCGGACCGGAGCAAUGAACCGGACCGGAGCAAUGAACCGGACCGAACCGGAUCGGCCCGCUGACAGGGAGGAGCGCUUCCUGCUCCGCAGGUUCGAGAUGUUCAUCAUCUUGAUGAACUAAUGAAUCCAAUCCCGGCGCAAAGCCGCAGAGAGCUGGGCACGUAGAAGCCUCCUCAUUGAAUAACUGCCCCAAGCGGAGGGCAACUCCUGCAGCAACAUUGCUGCCAUUAUUCAUCUCCUGCCUUUGUUCGGUCCAGCAGCUCCUCCUCUCAUCUGUCACCUGCCUGUCGAUGCCGUGAAUGUGAGCCGCUGUGAAAAGCGUUUUUGCUUCUGUCAUCAUUCAGCAGCAGAAAUCACAGCAGCCUGGCAGUUCCUGCCCUGCUGGGGCAACAAGGGCAGCAUGGGGCAGCAUGGGGCAGUUGCUCUGUGACUCUAACCGACUUUCAGUGAAAUAAAGUCACAAAACGACAGGAGCUCAUUCUGCAGAAAACUCUGAAAUGUUCCAGGACAAAACAAGAACAUUUUUGAUGUUCAAGUCUUUUCUGGAAACUUUUCAUCUCAAAAUGGAAGUUUACUGGAGUAUCAAUACUUUAUGAAAAGUGACUGAAGGAAAAUAAAACUUUGCUCCAGUAAUGUAACGAGUUACUCUCUGGUUUUAUCUGAAUGUUGACCUUUGACCCCAGAGGUUUGGGGUCAGAGUGCAUCCCGCCUGCAGCUCUUCCCCGGUUUCCCUCUCGGUCAAACCAAAACCGUGUGAUGUGUUAAUGAGGCCCAGCGCUGCCCGACCGGCCUAAUCCAAGUAAAACCGCUGUUUCUGUGGGAUCAGUGGGGAUUAAAGCAGAGACACAAAGACAUGGAGACGGUGAAGGUGAUUGAAUCGUUCGCUGUGGAUCCGCAGUGUCUGGGUUUGGUUCUGGUUCUGGUUCUGGGUUUCUCCUUCACGUUGUCCCUGAUGCUUCCUGACUCUUUUCUUCUCUGACCGGCUUUCUGCCUGCGGGAUUAUCUGGGAUUAUCCGUCUUCCAGCUCUUCCCUCUGUGGACUCUGAUUCGCCUCCGCAGACAGAAUCAGAACCGGCAGCAGAUUUUUCUCUUCACUCUUUAGUUUCUGAGAAACCAGCAGAGAUUCUGCGUCUCGUUGUGUUUCAACAGAACCUGCUUCUGUUUCUGAUCCAGAAACUGACGCUGCAGCUUGAUUCAUAUUUAGUUGUUAAUUCAGAACCAACAACCGACUAACUAAGAAAACUCUCCUGUUUCGUCUCAAGACUCACAAGUUGUUGCUUUUUUCUGUAACUUUUUAAAUGGCGCCGAUUUCAAACCAACAACCUGAUGCAUUUCCUCCUGGUUCAGUGUGUGUGUGUGUGUGUGUGUGUGUGUGUGUGUGUGUGUGUGUGUGUGUGUGUGUGUGUGUGUGUGUGAACAUGAGGCUUCCAGCUCAGAGGAAUCCUGCAUGAAUAUUUCAGCAGGCUAUAGUGACCCGGCACACUAAUGCAUAAUGAUAUGUUGAACUGUAAGAGGAUUGGCUGCGCUCCGAUACACACACUGAUGUCUUCUUACACACACACACACACACACACACACACACACACACAGCGUCGUUCAGUGAAGCUCAGCUGCGCCUGCGGUCACAGUGAACAAAUAAAAGGGACAAACAUGACUGGAGGAUUAUGGGAUGUAAAUGUGAAUCAGCUGCUGGUUUCAGUUCCAUCAGAUUUUAUUUGUUCAUUUUAAAUCCAGAGCAGGUAGAAAUGAAAAGGUGUUGCAGGAUUUAUGUUCACAUUUUAAUCAUUCAGACAAACAUGCAACUCAAACAGUCGAAUAUUUUACUGUUAAAUGGCGUUUGUGAGUCCGAAGAACCAUAAAUAAUUAUUGUUUAUGAGCGUCUGCGUUGUCUGGGACUGAAGAAGAAACAUUUAGCUUAGCUGCUGUUAGCUGUAAACUGGAUAUUCUACAAUGUUUUUAGGGCAUAAAGAGGAAUUAAUAUAAUAAAGACUGAAGCUCAGCUCGGUCUGUUUGCUCUCCGCUGGAGGAACCAGUAGCUGCACGGUUCUUUCUGCAGAGUUCUGAAUAAAACGGGUCGCCCUGAACAUCUGGAUCCUGAACUCCUGCAUGGAGUUUAUUAAAUAAAGAUUUACAUUUUGAAUUAAAUAUUUAGUUUGGGACAAUGACAUUUAUCAUGAUGAUAUCAUGAAAACCUGAUUUUUAUACGUUUUUUUCCUCUGAAUGUCUAAAUGAACCAAAAUGUUGCUGCUGGUUUUACUGUGUAGCUUUUCUUCAAACUUUUUCUUCCAGUGUGAAUCUAUUUAAAACACAUCUAUGCUGUCAGGAGGAUCCUGAUUGGCUGGGAAGGAAUGUGAGUUUUAUUGUAACUUAACAGAAUCAUUUAAUAAUAUGGAAUCUGAAUUAUUGUGUUGUAAUUAAUCCAGUUGUGUAAAAUCCUGAGGAUCAUUAAUAUUUAUUGAAAUGUUCACAGAUUUUUAAAAACUGCUCUGAAAAAAAAACAGAUUUAUAAUAAAGUCCAAGUCGUGCAGCAGCAGGAAGUUUUUCCGGCUCUGAUUUUAUGACGUUUCAUAAAGUUUAUGACAGCAGCCGAUUAUUCAAAUGAGCUGAAGCUCUGCUGACAUUUCAUUAGAUCCGUGAUGGACGGCGGCCUCAGAUUACGGUUCUGAUGGGAUCGAUCCGCCUAACUGACCCAGAUCUGGAUACAGAACCAGAACCGCUCCCCGGCUCCGUGCUGGGUCAGCCCCAUUGACCUGCGGUGGCGCGGCCUGCGGCUGUGGGAGGGGCUGAGCGUUUCCAGUGGGGGUUUCCUGCAGGACAUGUUUCUGUCUGCCGAGUGUUUUUUCUGACCUUUCCCUCCCCGUGACGUGAGGACGGACAGAGACAGACAGACAGACAGACAGACAGACAGACAGACAGACAGACAGACAGACAGACAGACAGACAGACAGACAGUAAUGAAGCUCCGGGCCUCAUGAGGUGAUGACAGCAGGCCUGUGAUGGAUGACAAAUGUUCAGCAUCGUGUCUGUUAGUCGCUGCUGUCCAGAUUCGCCUCUAAUGAACUUUUCUGACAUUUUCUCUCCCACAGGAUAUUUUUAGGGAUAAAGUCCAUUUUACACUCUGACAGAAUCGUUUUUCUGCCGUUUGUCACAAAUCAGAUCAGACUGAGGCUUUGAGUUUCCUGCAGAUCAUCGGAGACAAUAAGCCAGCUUAAUGAAACGCUUUGACCCGAUCCGGACGUCGACCAUUCAUGAAGAAAUGUCAUCAGGACAAAUGAUGAUUACAGGAAAAAACUGGAGAAACAAAAAUAGACGAGUGGCGAGCAGUAGGAGAGGAAAGAGAGGAGAGGUCAGCCUGUAGCUACAGCAAACGCUCAGGAUAAGCUGAGGCCUGAGCACAGGGUGUCCAAUAAAUCAACUUUUAUAAGAAACACUUUACAGAAAAUCUAAUUUUACACAUUUUUUUCCCAUUUGAGAACAAAAUGAUGCAUGAAAACGUUAAUGUUUCACCGUAUCUUUCUCCUCGGCCUUUCGGGGCUUCCGUAGUUCUGGACGGUUGGAGUCCAGAUCCGUCAGUCCGGUUCCGACCUCCGGGAGCCGAAUCCGCCGUUUGUUUCAGGCGUUUAAAGCUUCGAGCUGGAAAUUUAAUCAUCACCUUGGAUUUUAAAUGGGACAGAAAUAUUCCUGACAUCAUCUCCAGGUGUUUCUGCCUCCUGACCUCUGACCUCCAAGACUGAACAAGAAAUUUAUUCUGAAUCAGGAAGGAGAGAAAAUCCAAUCCCAGGGCGAAGGGAGAGGAAGUCAUGAUGCUGCGGGAAACAAUCCAGUCCGACGUCCCUGAACGUCUUUUUCACUGGUUUCAUGAAACAUGAAUUAAACAGCAGAAGUUAUUAUUGCAGCUGCUGGAGGGAAACCGGCUGCUGCUCUCUGAGCCUGUAACGAAACCCUCUAACAAGGCCGGGCAUCGCUUCCCGCUGCUCGCUUCUCAUCCGCUCUCUGGCCUCCUUAAUGGCCGCCCGACCGGAGCGCCGCUAACGAGGCGAGAGGGAGAGAAGACGAGCCGCUCCGGGGUUAAAGGUCACUGUGACGGACGCGCCGGGUCCCUUCCUGGCAGACGGGCGACAUUUAAACACAUUAUGACUUCAUAAAUCACCAAACACACUAAAACCCGUCAGACAUGUCGGGUCUCCCAGAAUCCCGUCAGCUGGAGGAAGAACGUUCCGACACGUCGCAGUGAAAACUGAACUGUUAGCAUCAGAUCAACGGUCCAGUUCUCCUGGAGUUACAUCACAUUCAGUCACUCUGACUUCAGGUUUCACAACAUAUUUACUCUAGAACCUCAUUUAGAGUUUUUACAUCUUUUUACUGUUGAUCCGUUGUGAACAGCUGGAACUGAUGCUAACAGUCCACAUUCUCUUGGUUUUGAUUGGCUCUGGUUCUGUUGGUUCUGUUGGUUCUGAUUGGUUCUGGUUCUGGUUCUGGUUGGUGUUUGGUGUUGAUCUUUCCUGUCUGUGAGUCCAGAACCGUCCAAUGGGAGCGUCGGGUCCGAUAAAAGACUUCCGCUGCCUCCUGUAGUUCUGCAGAAGUGUUUCCUCUUUGAAAAGUGCGUCGGGUUCUCGGUGCCUGGCCGGUCAGAGGAAGCAGCGGUUUGCUGCAGGCGCAUUAAUCUGUGAUGAGGCGUUUGGAGCUUUAACUCCACGGCGCAGCGCUGGCAGGAAGGUUGUUCCAGCUCCUGUGGAUUUGUGUCACUGGGUGAUUUUAUGGGCCUGCUGUGUGUGUGUGUGUGUGUGUGUGUGUGUGUGUGUGUGUGUGUGUGUGUGUG